AUGCACAGGCACCCAUGCCACACACAAGCAGCACAUCCAAGGCAGUGGCAGCGCAUCACGGCUUCUGAAGCGACUCCUGCUCCAUUGAGGGGACGCUCAGUCCGUUGUGGUUGGUCCGUCAGCCACUUCCUGCCCCCUGCCCCCAUCCAGCCGGGGCAAAGGGCAGGGCCUACUUGCUCGUGGGCCCCGCUCCUUCUGGGCCAGGCCUCUGAGCCCCUUGCUCCGCCGCCUGGCUCCUCUCCUGCGGGAAUGAUGCGUUCCCAUCAGGGCACCCCCUCCGUGGACGAUGGCCCCUUCCUCCCUCCUUUCCGUCCUUCCACUCGGAAGGGAGAGUCCAGGGGUGGGGGGGACGUCCCCACAGAAGCCCCUCUCCUGCCGCCUUGUGCCCGUGGCUCCCCCCUCCGCCAGCACCGAUCGAUCUUCCUCAGUGGGCCCCAGCGCAGAGCCGUCUCAGUCUCUCAGUCUCCGGGCACCUUCACCUUCCGGGCAGCACAGGAGGAGGGAGGGAGGCAGGGAGGGGGGAGACUGGUGCUUGUGGAAGGAGUUCUCCAGGAACAGGGCCAGCUUCUCACAGUCCUCCUGGGAAGGGCAGAAGGGCCAGCGUCAGCGGGAGGGAGGGAGGCAGGGAGGAAGUUAAUAUUAUUAUUAUUAUUAUUAUUAUUAUUAUUAUUAGAUUUUUCUAUCCCGCCACCAUCUAUCUCCCCGAAGGGACUUGGGGCACCUUACAAGCGGGACCAGGCCGAGCACAACAAAGUUUAUGAACUAAAUACACAUCUAAAAACAUAAUACACCUAUACCAAUCUGAUUAAAUAAUUAAAAACAGUUGAACAUAAAAACCAUUAAAUUUAUCAAAAGCAAAUCUCAACAACUAGUAACGGGGAAUAUGGUGAGCAUGAUCAGAAUUAGGGAGAGCUGGGCUUGGACUUGUGCAAAAAGCAGACUGUAGGGCCAGGGCUGGGGGUCAAGUGCUGAGCACAAUUAUUGGGCGAUUAGGGCUGGGUGUUCAUGGAUAGGGGCCUAACCAUCAUCAAAUGCACACUGGGACAUCCAGGUCUUCA
rnacentral:lncRNA from 11 species